rnacentral:lncRNA from 1 species
UUAUAUCCUAAUGUUUUUCAUGAAAAAAGAAUAAGAAUAAACAAGGGUUGUUACAAUCUCUGCUGCAAGGAUAAACAUGGAUCAGCCGCAAAACUCGUUCUUUGGGACCAAUCUGGUUAAAAUCUGAGAAAGGGUUUAUGUUUUGUUUUUAUCAUAGAACAAGUGAAAGUGGAGAACUAAAGGUCCUAAGAUAAGGUCUUCUUUUCCUGUCCCUUUUACCAUUUGUCCUGUACUUUUCCGAUUAAAAGUUUGUGAAUAAUUUCUUUUUUUCUUGAUUGAAUGGAUCGCUUUGUGGCUUUAGUGGGUUACAUAGUCGGGGCCUUUGUGUCAAAUUCUCACCAUUUGUGAAGAAUUAGAUCCUUGUUGCAUCACAUCGCCAGAUAUACUUCAUAGUUUUUAUUAAUUAGUUGCUUUUCAUUUAUUA